rnacentral:rRNA from 1 species
UACGGAGGAUCCAAGCGUUAUCCGGAUUUAUUGGGUUUAAAGGGUGCGUAGGCGGCCUAUUAAGUCAGGGGGUGAAAGACGGUAGCUUAACUAUCGCAGUGCCUUUGAUACUGAUAGGCUUGAAUAUACUUGAGGUAGGCGGAAUGUGACAAGUAGCGGUGAAAUGCAUAGAUAUGUCACAGAACACCAAUUGCGAAGGCAGCUUACUAAAGUAUGAUUGACGCUGAGGCACGAAAGCGUGGGGAUCAAACAGG